GUGGUCCCUUCACCCGGGCUCCGCUCUUGCCUUCUCCACACUUGUUUGAGGGUAGUCCGGCCCCGAGUGCUGGUAGACUGUGGAAUUCGGCUGUGUCCUGAGGCCACCCUAGAGACCCCGCGCCGCGUGAGUGCCGGAGCGCUCGGUGGCCGCCGCGCCGCGCGCCUGGAGGGAUGCUAACGUGGAGCCGGCGCCGAGUCCGCCCGGCGUGCGUGCGUGUGUGGGAGCGCGCGAGUCCCCUGACGAGGGGACCAGUUAUGAAUCGGGGGUGUGUGUUUGCCUCCAGAGACCUGGCAAGGUGCGGAGCCCUCCAGAAGUGCGGUCAAGCGGCAGCGGAGACGGCGAGCCAGGAACCUCCCCCCGCGUCCCCAGCUUCCCAGCGUGGCGGCGGAACCCCCGGAGAAAGUUUGCAAACUUCCAGCGGGCGCGGCGAGGACGCCGGGUCACCUAGGGGGCGGGUGGGCGCGCGCGCAGGGGGCUCGCUCUCCCCGGUGCGGAGCUGCCGCUGCCACCUCUCCCGCCGGGCUGCCGGCUGCAGCGGGUGGGCGCGCGCCCGGGGAGGGGAGGUCGCCCUCGGAGGGCGCUUGGCUUUCGCUCCAGGCGCUGCGGGCUGGAGAGCGGCGAGGCUCCGUCCGCUCCAGUCCACUCCUCCGGCCGCCUCCUGCGUCCGCUGCUUUCUCGCUGGCAUCGUUACCUCUUCCCGGCCGCUGCCCCAAAUGACAGCUCCGGCUCGAGCCCUGGCGGCGCCCAGGCAAUUCCCAAGACCCGGCGGCGGAGUCUCCCCCUGCGGCAGAUUCUCGGCAGAACCACUUGAACUUUUCACGAAGUUCUUAGAGGGGCAAGAUGCGAAGGAAGGAACCAAGGAGAUGUUUUCUCUCAGCAGCUGCAUCCCGCUUCUUCUUUGCCAUAGAUUUAUUUUUAAGGGGCGUCUGGUAGAUAAAGCCCUAGACCUUGUCCACACUCUCACCCCCGUCCCCAACUUUCCCUGGACCAGUGCCGCCCCCACUUGAUACUUGUUCAAGGCCGGGGACUGGAGCGGGAUACUUGUGUAUUUCGUUGUCAGUCUGCAGAAUGGAUUUUUAUUUUUCCCUCCUUCUCUGACAUGUGUCAAGGAAUAAAGACUGGAUACAGGUCCAUUA
rnacentral:sRNA from 1 species